rnacentral:misc_RNA from 1 species
AUCAAUGGCCUCUGGGAUCGAGGAGAAUCCUUGUGUGGGGUAAUCCAAAUCAGGCUCAUCGUCAUAGUUUGAGAACUCAUCAUUGGAGGUGACAUCAUCCUCUACGUCAUCUACUUGAUCAAUGGCCUCUGGGAUCGAGGAGAAUCCUUGUGUGGGGUAAUCCAAAUCAGGCUCAUCGUCAUAGUUUGAGAACUCAUCAUUGGAGGUGACAUCAUCCUCUACGUCAUCUACUUGAUCAAUGGCCUCUGGGAUCGAGGAGAAUCCUUGUGUGGGGUAAUCCAAAUCAGGCUCAUCGUCAUAGUUUGAGAACUCAUCAUUGGAGGUGACAUCAUCCUCUACGUCAUCUACUUG